UCUCUCUCUCUCUCUCUCUCUCUCUCUCUCUCUCUCUCUCUCUCCAAAAACAUGAAGCUAAAAACAUUUGAAAGCAGAUCCAUCGUUCUACUUGUCUUCUUGCCCUAUUCCUGCCUCUUCACAGGAAGGUCCAUUUCACCGAUUGGAAGAGACAGUAAAACCCUCGUGUGGCCGUUCAUAUGAGUCACUAUUUAGGGAACAAGUGAUUAUGCUACUUUGCAUGGUCAGGAUACUAUGGCCAUUUCAUGAAUGUCUCUGGGCAGGCAGGGCCUCUAAAACUAGAAAUGCUAGAGGUGACUUUACUGGUAAACAGAUGGGGUUUGUGUUUGCUGAGUUCCUUUUACUUCUUUUCAUCUUUCCUUAAUGGCCUAUCUGUGUUGCAUCAACAAUUGGUUUGAUAUUGACUUUACAGUUAGGUUAUUUUUAUCUUAUGGUUAACUAUCCAUGGUUAUCCGCCCUGAUAGAGCUUAGGCAAGUACAAAUAUUUCUUGUUGCACAUACUACCAAUAUUGUUUCUAUUAUGAAAUACACCCAGUGUUAACUUAGGAGUUGGUUGUCUAUUUUUGAUACUCAGAUCUUAAGAUCAUAUACCAGUGCCUGAGAUCUACUACGAAUGCUCAUGGCCGUAUCUCUAACAGCUGCCUACAGUGUGUGAAUCAUAUAUUUUGACUUUCAAGGACAGCCUUGAUACCCCUACAUCGGCAAUACAGGGGUCUGAUACUUGCAGCCCAUCUGUGCCCCUUCAUUGGCCUUGUAUAUAUGUCACGCCUGUGUCCCUUCCUGGGCGAUGUAGGGGAGAGCCACCUGUGCCCCUUCAUGGUUUAUGUAGGGUUGUGGCACCAGCACCCCUUCAUGGCCACUACAGUGUUUGUACUGACAUGGUUUCCAGGACCCACCUGGGGUCUCCGGACAUAUCCCAUGGAUAACAGGGAGCUUCUGUAGUCAUGUUCCUCUGCAUUACACCUCCCCACAAGUCUCUCCUCUCCGGAUAAAUAUUACAGGAUCAGGAACCACUUUUCUUUGCAGUUUCUUCUUGGUGGAAACAUCGUGUCUUUGCUUAGCAUGGCUGCUUUGGCCUCUCCACCAUCUCCUGGAGGUUCUCUUACCUUUGCACUGCUCUUCACUCACUGCUUUUGGAUGUGCUGUCUGCCUCUGUUGCAGUCCUGUACCAGUGGUAAUUUGUACCACGAGUGGCCACAGGAAACCGGUUAGAACUGGAAUUCUGGGACUGGACUGAUCUUCCAGUAGAAGACAUACAAGUAGCUUCCUUGAUGGCAGAAGUGGAUACUGGACAUUGGUGGCUUGCAUCUUCCCUCUACCUCUAUACUCCAAGUUCCUGGCUGGCACUGGAAUUACAUCCUUAGCAUGGGCAUCACAACAUCUAGGUGAGGUCGGGAAGGACUCAGGAAUUCUCUGGAGCAGCUGCAGCUGGGCCUGUGAAACGACAUGGUGAACUUCCAGGUUCCAAGCAGAGUGACCCUGCAACGCUUCUGGACCUAAGUCUAUGCAAGUCAGAAUCAACCUCCAUCCACCUCCAUCCACCUCCAUCCUUUAUGAAACCUAAGAUGUGAUGCAGCUCCAAUGGGAAAUAUCAGUUGUGUCUCUACCAAGGAUGCAGAAAAAGACAAG